ACUCUUUCAGCUUGAACUGUUAACCAAUGGUGGAAAUGCAAGAAUGCUGAAGUUGUGCCUUCAGAGCCAAUAGAGUGGAUUUGUGUGUCCCACAUGACUGUGUUUCCCCUGUCUUUCACAUGGGCAGUAUUUAGUUCAAUUCAGAACUGCAGAUAGUAUAGCACGCAGAGCAGCAAUGGGAUGUCUGAGCACAAGUGGCUGACUUCCAGGCGACUUCAAGAAGCACAUUUGCACAUUUAUCCUGAAUUAAACUGGAAUUCUGCACCCUUGACAUCCUCCUACUCUCCUGGUGUCUGCGGAAGGAAACAGCGACCUGCACAGCACAACAAAACUACAAAUCAUCAGUGAUCUACAGACAAGCAAACGAAGUGAGCUGAGGGCAAUUUAACUACCGCCUUCUGUGUCAGUUCCCCAGAAGUCAAUGAGGCAUACUAUCGGGUCUCCAAGUGCAGCAAACUAAGAGCAGCCCUAACUAAAUGAACUGAGACCAACAAAGCUGCAAGAGAAUAACCUUCUGCAGGAGAAUUGCUAACAAGCACAAAAAGACAUGUGAGAAGCUGCCAGCUCCAUGCAUGAAGAAGGAAAUGGGAUAGACAGAGAAGGGUGCUGGUACUGACAUUUAAGGAUGCUGUCAAGUCAAUGGAGUUCUCUUGUAGUGGUUGCUUCAGUGAACAUUCAACGCUGUCGGCCUUCACACCGAAGAUAGAAACCUAACCAGCACAUGAGGUUUCUCCCCUACUCUGCCACGCUUUACAAAAAAGGUCACAAUCAACAUUCAUUGCUGUCGGUGGGUUUAACUAUGUGGACAAGCUCACUGAACAAUGAAUGCAACUGUGGCCCCACAUUUUACAGGUGCAUUUGGGAGGAAUGUCAGCUCUGAAAGGAAUAGUGAGAAACAGACAUUUCUUAUAGGUUACGUUUUUCUGGUCAAAAAUUUGUUAAGGAUAUUCAAUUAACUCUUCUUUGUUAUUAAAUGUAUUUAACUAUGUUGACUAAAAAAAAAAAGCACUGCAUUUUUCUGGAAUAUCACCCUCACAGGGUUCAGCACCUCUGAAACUGAAAUAAUGCUUGUUCAGUAUGUAUGUGGAAAAAAGUAAUAAUAUAGAGAACUUGGUAUAUAUGUACUCCUCAGGACUACGCAUAAGAGGAAAGAGUAUUUAAAUGUUAAAUCUUAAUUAACUAGGUAUUAUGGAAUAGUUUACAGAAGUCUCUUCUAUACUUGUCAAGACAAAACCAGAACUUUUCUAGUGGACAGGUAACAGAAAUAGAUGUAUACCCACUAUCAAAUAGUUAAAUCGUAAAAUUACUCUAAACUUCGGUACUUGUGUCACACUCAGUAUUGCUAACACUAAUGAAAAAAUAAAAGUGUAAUUAAAGCUCACUGUUCUGUCCUUAUUUUCUUACAACCUUUGUUUAACCCAGCUGGAAAAAACAGAGCCCAGCCUACAUUUCUACCUUUCAGAAGUCAUCCAAGGUAAGUGCAAGCCUUCACACAGCACAGUUUCAAUAUUCCGCAGUAGAGUUGCUUCUAACAUUUAGGAAAUCACACGACGUUCCUAGUUUCUCCUGAUAGACCCUCUUAAAAGCUGGGGUCUGUUAACAAUACUUCAGUUUGAUUAUCUACACAGUAACUGGAAUAGGAUACAACCAUCAGGGCUAUCAUGGGAGGAAACAUCUGUACCUGCUUUGUGAACCGUAUAUUAACAGCCUAGCUAAAUAAUAACAGUUUAAGUAAUCAAAGAGAUCAGUCCUCAAUCACAUGCAAGAUUAUAUUUGAAUAACUGAAUUUUUAAUGAAAAGAGAGGCACACUACUGAAUUAAAAUCAAUGGCUGAAAGAAGUGCGUUGUUUUUUUCAUUCUGAUAUUUACUACCAAAUAAUCUACAGAAUGUACUGAGGCCAGGGGCAGCAGUUAAGUACUAAUAGGAGGAGUGGCUAUGGAUACGUGACUUCUCAGCGACACUGCAUAGAGAACCCUAGGUUCUAUCUUAAAGUUCACUCGUUUCUACACAGCAAUGAGUACUUGAAUAACUAUCAAAUUAUAUAUAUGGAUCACAAUACAAGCAAGUUAUAUAUUCUAUCUAGAAGGACAAACUUACAUGUUCAGUUGCAGCUACUUCAUACUUGCCUAAUUUCUGCAUUUAUUACUUUUACUAACGUGACUUAAUUGUGUUAUGCAUUAAUAAACACUGAAGAUGUUACUGAAGUUUGUGGAAUUAAGCAGCAGUGGAAAGAACCAGCAUCCUAGCAUGUUAUCACCUUCAAGCACAACAGAAGAAAAUACAAAAAUAAACCAUACUGCAACUGAUAAUGGUUGAACAAUACAAUUGUUGUAGGGACACAGGAUCCAGUGCAAGAAAAAGGUUAGUUAUAGGGUAGGGGGGAAGGUGAGGGGUUGAUGGCACUCUCUCAAAAUGCACAGAUGUUUUACCUUUUAGAAAAUAUCUACAGUAAUAUUGUUGCCUUGCGUAAGUUGUGUCAGUGAUUUUAAUCAUAGAAUCGCUAAGGUUGGAAAAGACCCACAGGAUCAUCCAGUCCAACCAUUCGCCCUUCACCAAUGGUUCUCACUAAACCAUGUCCCUCAACACAACAUCCAAUCACUCUUUGAACACCACCAGGGUCGGUGACUCCACCACCUCUCUGGGCAGCCCAUUCCAGUGCCUGACCACCCUUUCAGAGAAGUAGUAUUUCCUAACGUCCAGCCUGAACCUUCCAUGGCGCAGCUUAAAGCCAUUGAAGCCAUAAUCACGCUUUCAUAUCAAGAUUAAGAAUCUCCAUAGUGUACAAAUACACAUUAUUUCAUACAGUUUGAUAAUUUUAUAUCUCCAUUAAUUUACAGGAUGCUCAUGGGCAAAGCAAUACCACACCUGAUAAGAGAGACUGCUUUUCACACACAUCCUUUACAUAAUGAAGCAAAAGUGAUCCCCAUUCAGCAACAGUAGCUGUGAAACUGAAGUUCCUUGGUCAUUUUCAGGGUUGUUAGUUUUUUUUUUUGUUGUUGUUGUUGUUAAUAUGAUACAUCCAUGCUCAAUACAGUAUCCGUGGGCUACAGAGACCUUCCAGAAAAUUGCUCCUUGGUAUCACUGUAAAUAAUUCACUCACAACAAUAUUUUUAGGUCAAGCAUAUCAAAAUUACAGGAAAUGUAAUGGACCUUGACAUAAUAGGAGCACUAGUUUCAAAGCAGUGAAGGAGGAGGAGAAGGAACAUACUUUCCACACACAGCUCAGUCACAGUUUCCCAGUGUCCACAAUACUGUGCUUGAAACAGGAGAGGCAGUACCAAGUGGUUGCUGCUAAGUUUGGAGUCACUGAGGUUUUACUUAACUCCAGACAUAGUUCUGUUUUUCCUGACUUCUGGAGCAAAAUGGGUGAAAGCAGUUCAGAUCCAGCAGUUUCUGCGUCAAGCCUCUAACUCCUGUUUACCAAGCACAGAAAGACAUUCCACCUUACCUUUCAAACUACAACACAAUGAAUACCUAUGAAAACCAUACGUGAUUCAGGACUACAGCAAAAUGAAAACAUUACACUGUCCAGAGCAGACUAAAAACACCACAAUAACAUUUCUUGCUUUACAGAUGGUAAAGAGAAGAAAUACAGUAGAAGUUAAAUAUAGAAAUAGUUUGUAUCUGUAUGUAGUAGUCUGAACUGGAAGUAGUAUCUAGAUCUUGCAUUCGAGCCAUGCGUCUUACACUGGAAGAAGGAGUAUUGUAAUUUUGACAUGAAAACCGUAUUUUCCUUCUUGCUGAUCGCCCCUUUUUCCUAAUCAAAUGAUAUUUAUUUUUUCUCUCUAGAGUUAUCAUCCACUCCAGAUUAAUAUCUGUAUCUUGCCCUCACUUUCUUCUAUUCUUCUGUAUAAUUCUCUUAACUUCUUCAAAAAAAAAUUAGUCUUCCUGAGCUUCCUCUUUUAGCACAAGUGCCAGAAAUGCAGACUGUGUUCCAAAUAGCCCAGCCAAAGCUAGCUGAAGUAGUCUGAUGUCUCCCUAUUUUACAAGGAACUGCUGAUCAUUUUCAGCCAAAAAUAGCAUUUGUAAUGGCACCACACAGUUAACACAUUUAAAUUUAUCUAACUUUAUUCCACAGAUAUAUUAGUGUCCACAAGUUUUUUCCUAAUUUGAAGUAGGUUAUUUCAUCCCCCUGAAAUGCAACACUUGCCAUUUUUUUUUUAUCUAUUACGUAAUUUCUGCAACAUCCAUUGAUUACAGCAUCGUGGUCAUAUUUUCACAGGAAUUAAUUAGAGACUUCUUGUAGGUUUACAUCUGAAAAAAAUACAUCUGAAAAAAUAUAAGGAAAGAUCCAGGGGUAGGAGCUCCAACCCACAGAAGCCAUGAAUUACAACAGAAAUUUUGUCUAUACUUGACAAGUAAAUCAGAACUGAAUCCCCUAGCUCUGCAGCCAGAGCCAGAACACGCAUAUACAACACAUAGACUUUUCCUGGUUUUGUUCCAUGAGAUACAGUAGCGCCCAAGCUAGCCCUAGUAUUUUUUUUAUUGUUUUAAUAAAAGAAUUACCUAUCAAGUUUGUAAAUAGGCUAUCAUGAGACCUGAAAGUGUAACUUAUUGUGCAGUGUUUUUUUGUUUGUUUGUUUUCAUUAUUCUCUAUUAGAAAUGUUACUCUAGGUCUUGACAAUGAAAAGACAAGUCCAAAACGGACCAGAUACCGCAGUUGUAUGAUACCACAGUUCAGAACAGAACUGGCAAAGAGGCAAGGUACCUGGAAAAUAGCAUUCUCUUGGCCAUUAAGAUAGGAGAACUUGCACUCAAAAUAAACUGCAGUAUAUAUACGCUAUUUAAACUGUGAUAUCACCUGUAAUUAAUGGCAAGCUACUGCAAUAAUCACAUGCUAUUAAGCUAUUUGAUUGCCUGGAAAUGCUAUUUAGUAAUUAAACAGUUAAAAUACUUUAUCAUAGACUUUUUGAAACACUGAAGCAAAAAAAAAGAUACACAAAUAUUAAUUUUAGCUAGCAGGAGAUGAGUCCAGGUGGUUGCCCUCUAAAGUCAACAUCACCAUCUGAUGUGUAAAACACUCCUAAUUAACAUAAAGUACACCCUGUGCUAAUUAUUGUGCUCGCCUCCAAAUAAUGAGCCAUAACAAGCCUAGAGUUCAAGAUGAUAUAUUUACAUUUAAAUGCCAUGCACUUCACCAUCCUGUAUCAAUAUGGCCCUGGUUAACACACUGACAAAAAAAUGAAAUUACUGCCCCCACCGCCCUGCAGACUAGGGAAGCACAAACAGCUAAACAGAUACUAGAACUAAAAGAACUUUCAGACAGACCUUCAGGUUGUAAUUGUGGAAGGCAACAGGGAAAAGCAGUGCUUCAAAGAUAGUGGCCAGCUGUGGUCUACAGAACAUCGUAAGCAAAGUGGAGUCUCUUCAGGAAGAUAUCCAUACAUCUCCAAAACAAUUUCGGGAGAAUAUUCCAGAAGUUCACAUGGAUUGUGGUUUGCUAACUAGUGAAUUCAGGUUCUCCGCUGGUUUUAGUCAGCAUACUUUUGAUUUCAGUGGAAUUACACCACUAUAUACAGUGUGAGGGUUUGACAAACAAACAUGCAAGGGAUAUAAAAGCAGCACAGUCCUGCACAUCCUACACUAGAAAUGCAGUCAGAGGUAAAAGUCACUCUUUGGAAGAAGGGAGGGAAGCAAAAGAACAGAUAUUUGAAAAGCAAUCACUCCUACCUACAGAAAGAGCAUUUCUACCUGCUGUGGGUGGUCGUGGACACAGCACUCGGACACCUAACUCCUCCAUUCUUGCAGGUUACAGUUUUGCAGGUACAAAUACAGAAUUUCAAAACACAACAUGCAUAGAGUAUUUUGGGGCAGAAAUAUAACACCCACGUUAUGAUAAUUUGGCCUUUGCCACCACAUGACGGUCUCCUUCACUUCAUGUAUCUUGAGGUACGUGGGUGGCAAAGAACUGACAGCAUAUUUUUGUCUAAAGAUGGCUCCCACAGCACGAGUGUACAUACUGGAAGCAAUGGCAGUUUGUUUCCUUCCUCCCUUAACACUGUGCUCUUUACUUGAGUUUCCAUCAUUUCUAUACAGAGCUAGUAACACUAAACCAUUCACCGAGGAGAGGGUUAAAAAAAGCCAAAGCAAAAAAAAAAAAAAAAAAUCACCGAGUCUUCAAAUUAUUCUCUGUCACAAUAUCCAGAUUUUAUGAAUCCUGAACCAUCUCCUCAGGGUGCCUAGCAGCACCUUUCUCUGGCCUAGAACUAAGCUCUGACUUCAGAUUUGUAUCAGCCUUUACAAGAGACGAUCAUUUUCAGCAAAGUUUCAGGCACUGCAGAUUUAUGUACAAAGACUUCUAACUGCUGCCUGGAUGUGCCUUCUGGAACCAGAAAACACACAUCAAGAGUAAGAUGAGCAAGCCACAGGUUUGUUCAAAUGAAUACCAAAAACUGACUGUUAAGAGUCAAUUAAAAAAAAAUACUGAAAAUAUUGAACUUUUCUCUGCUUCCUCUGUAUUGCUAUUCCAACUAGAUCCUACACCACCCAUCCUAUCAACAUCUUCAUGGAUGCACACAGGUAGCUAAGACACUCCAUAUCUUAAAAAGAAAACCUAGAGGUUUUCUUUCUCCUUAAAGAGACUUAUCUGUGUGGAAACCUCACUUCUUUAAACCUUGUACUGAGAUUCUGGGGAGUGCUACUGCAUCUAUUGCUAAUAAUCCAAGCCUGUGGCAUGCAUACCCACAAGGGUAUUUUUAGCUAGAUUCUAGGUGCAUACCUUUGCAACUGAUUUCGAGUUCCAUUAACAUCUAGAACUAGUGGCUCUUCUCUACUUUGAUGAGGAAAAUAAACUAUGUUCCAGCUGAAAGCGGGACUUGGAUCCCCAAAUCAAUAAGACUACAUUAGUAGUUUGUCACAUUGGAGCCCAUAGGGCACUUGUGCUCACUAUUCUCCAAACAAGAUGAAGUUUUAACAGGCUCACCUAAUUUGUUGAGCAAUAUAGUUGGAAUCCCUGCAUUGUGAAUAAAAGAAACUGGUAGGUUGCUAGGCUGAUGACAGGUCGUACAGCCUUUUCUUGACAGAAGAUACAACAGUCAACAGUGUACAACUGAACCUGUACAGAGCCUGUACAGCCUGUUACAGAGCCUGUAACUUCCAAGCACAAAACACCGCAAUAUGUGCUUAAAAGCACAAAAAGGGUUUAUGUUCACUUCUAAAUUGUUGGCUGCUACAUGUUGUCAUCUCUUUUUAAAGGUUGCUCACUAGCUGCAUUCCAAGUUUUCACAUAUGUAUGAUUUCCUUCAGCUACAAGUGUAAAUUUGCAAGCAAUGGGAACAUGAGUGCAGUCACUGUCUGAUGGAAUCUGCAUAGAAGGUAAAGCUGUCACCAGAUGGCAUUUCUGAGUUUUGUGCAGCCAGAUAUUCAAAAGCAGCAUCUGAAUUCUGGAUGCUACACUGUUGUUUUUGUGGGGUUUUUUUGUUUGUUUGUUGUUGUUUUAAUUUAUUGUGGAUACUCUGAAUCAGCAUCUGCUCCUGCAAUUAUC
ensembl:lncRNA